rnacentral:rRNA from 1 species
UACGAAGGGGGCUAGCGUUGUUCGGAAUUACUGGGCGUAAAGCGUGCGCAGGCGGCUUCUCAAGUCAGGGGUGAAAGCCCAGAGCUCAACUCUGGAAUUGUCUUUGAGACUGAGUGGCUUGAGUACGGGAGAGGUGAGUGGAAUUCCCAGUGUAGAGGUGAAAUUCGUAGAUAUUGGGAAGAACACCGGUGGCGAAGGCGGCUCACUGGCCCGUAACUGACGCUCAUGCACGACAGCGUGGGGAUCAAACAGG